CUUUGAGCUCUCUUCUCUUAUCACUGUCGGCCUCUUUCUUCUCAAUUUCAACUCGCUCUUCCGCUGACUGUCUGGUUGUAUCGGCUCGUCUCGGCAGCUGGAAGUAGGAGUCAUCAGAGUCUGCUCUUUCUUUGCUGUCAUCUCGUGCUUCUCUUCCAGGUUGAUCGUCUGUGUGCGUAUAUCCGAGCCUUCUUCCUUCAUCAGCGUCGACUAUGUGCUGAACUUGAACCAUUACUACUGCACUCAAGUUUGAGUUGGGUUGAAUUCUUCUUUUAUCUUUUGGGGUAGUCUAUGAACUAAGGAGAGCCUGUUAUUUCUGCACUUCUAUUCAAGAUAUUGUAGUUGACCCUGCACCACCAGUAGAUCGUUGAAGGGCCUUUUUGCUUAUUGGAAAGAGGAAGCCUAUUGUGACUAUUAUUGUGGCUUUAGCUCUGGUGCUGAGAGGGAGUGUCGCACCUGAAAAUGCAAUGCGGACGACACGAGAGCGGAGGUUCUGGCCUUCAAAAAGAAGACCGAAGAAAUAGGAGUCGCCACCAAAAUUUUGAGAAAAAUCUUGGAAAACCGUUUAACACCACAAGGAUGGUAUGCGAAAUCAGAGAAUAGGUUUGAGAGUCGGUUAAAUGUGGGGAAGGUGUUAGGCACCCCACAACACCCGUUCAUGAGAACGGUUACCUAAAGUUUGUUGUGCUAUAUUAAUAUAGUUUUAAAAUUAUUUUAAUUAUCCCUUUUAUAUUCAUGUGU